rnacentral:misc_RNA from 1 species
GUUUUGGUUAACUCAGUUGAUGUUCCGGCGAGAAAUUUUGAUCAGGAUAAAUCCGUUCGUUGAUUCUCUAUGGAUGCAGAUAGAUUAAAUUCUCCACACACUUCUGCAAUACUCAUUGAUGUUCUUGGUCAUCAACUUCAGUUUUGCCAGGAUCCUAAUUCGAAGCAUUUAGGCACUACUGUUUGGGAUGCAUCUAUGGUUUUAGUAAAAUUUCUGGAAAGAAAUUGUCGGAAGGGGAGGUUUUCUCCAUCUAAAUUGAGAGGAAAGCGUG